AUUGAACGCUGGCGGCAGGCCUAACACAUGCAAGUCGAGCGGAUGAAGGGAGCUUGCUCCCUGAUUUAGCGGCGGACGGGUGAGUAAUGCCUAGGAAUCUGCCUGGUAGUGGGGGAUAACGUUCCGAAAGGAACGCUAAUACCGCAUACGUCCUACGGGAGAAAGCAGGGGACCUUCGGGCCUUGCGCUAUCAGAUGAGCCUAGGUCGGAUUAGCUAGUUGGUGAGGUAAUGGCUCACCAAGGCGACGAUCCGUAACUGGUCGGAGAGGAUGAUCAGUCACACUGGAACGGAGACACGAUCCAGACUCCUACGGGAGGCAGCAGUGGGGAAUAUUGGACAAUGGGCGAAAGCCUGAUCCAGCCAUGCCGCGUGUGUGAAGAAGGUCUUCGGAUUGUAAAGCACUUUAAGUUGGGAGGAAGGGCAUUAACCUAAUACGUUAGUGUUUUGACGUUACCGACAGAAUAAGCACCGGCUAACUUCGUGCCAGCAGCCGCCGUAACAC
rnacentral:rRNA from 1 species